UGGGAAUUUUGGACAAUGGGCGCAAGCCUGAUCCAGCCAUGCCGCGUGCGGGGAGAAGGCCUUCGGGUUGUAAACCGCUUUUGUCAGGGAAGAAAUCUUCUGAGUUAAUACCUCGGGAGGAUGACGGUACCUGAAGAAUAAGCACCGGCUAACUACGUGCCAGCAGCCGCGGUAAUACGUAGGGUGCAAGCGUUAAUCGGAAUUACUGGGCGUAAAGCGUGCGCAGGCGGUUUUGUAAGACAGAGGGUGAAAUCCCCGGGCUCAACCUGGGAACUGCCUUUGUGACUGCAAGGCUUGAGUGCGGCAGAGGGGGAUGGAAUUCCGCGUGUAGCAGUGAAAUGCGUAGAUAUGCGGAGGAACACCGUGGCGAAGGCAAUCCCCUGGGCCUGCACUGACGCUCAUGCACGAAAGCGUGAGGAGCAAAACAGGAUUAGAUACCCUGGUAGUCCACGCCCUAAACGAUGUCAACUGGUUGUUGGGAAGGUUCCUUCUCAGUAACGUAGCUAACGCGUGAAAGUUGACCGCCUGGGGAGUACGGCCGCAAGGUUGAAAACUCAAAGGAAUUGACGGGGUCAUAGCUGUUUCCUG
rnacentral:rRNA from 1 species